rnacentral:lncRNA from 1 species
CGUUACCACCAAAAAUGUUACACGUGUGAAAUGAAUGGACAUAAACAGAAAUCAUUCAUAACAAACACGAAUGAUUCAAUGUGUUUAGAAAUGCUUGAACAUAUUGUAGUAAUAUGACUGGACAAAACAAGAAAUGACUCGUUCAAAGUUGAAACGAUUCACUUCACUGUGUAUUAAUUCGGCUAUUAUUGAACUGAUUCGUAUGGACCAAGUGAAAUGACUUGAUGUAUUUUGCAGUGACGCAACAAGUCGUAUAAGAGUGACCCAGUAAGCUGUCAAAUAAUUCAUGCUUUUUUACAGCCAUCCGAUGUGUUUUAAAAUAGCUCAACUAAAUUCGACACCAUUCAACCAGAUGAGACGCGAUUCGAUCUAAUAUGCGACAAUGUAACUCAAUGUGAAACGGCCCAGUUAAAGGCGGCGUCGUUCAGCUAGAUGUGAACAGAUUCAAAAUCAUGUGAAAUCACUCAAAUAAAUGUGAAAUCACUCAACAAGAUGUGAAAUGGCUUCACCAAAGGUGGAACGAUUCGCGUCCAAGUGAAAUGACACGGCAUAUUUUGAUUUGACGUAACUUGUGCGUUCUUGACACGUCUUGUUGUAAGUUGAUUCAUCAUGUUGUGAAGUGAAUCAACAAGAUGCUUCCAUCUUGUUAUUUAUACUUCCUUGAAAGAAAUUUUACGGAAAUAAAAUCAAAAUAUGGAAAUUUGCCGCAUGUUUAUUGAAAUGAGAUAUCGUUCAAAGUCCUUUCCGCAACUCACACUUCGACGUUCGCACACCGUUAUUUUGUAUCGCGACAUUUUCCAAGCUUUUUUGCAUUUUGUUGGCAAAUAUUUUUCCCCUGGAAGAUCUCAGUAUAAAGCUGUUGGUAAAAUCCUUAAAGUGUAUGCAACAAUGAGUAAUAAUGUGGACACAGUAAAUGCAUUAAUGCAGGUUGUGCAGAUGCUGCAUCCUAUAAUAGGGC